rnacentral:rRNA from 1 species
GAUGAACGCUAGCGGCAGGCCUAACACAUGCAAGUCGAGGGGUAGAAUUAGCUUGCUAACUUGAGACCGGCGCACGGGUGCGUAACGCGUAUGCAAUCUGCCUUGUACUGAGGGAUAGCCCAGAGAAAUUUGGAUUAAUACCUCAUAGUAUUAUGAAAUCGCAUGGUUUUAUAAUUAAAGUUCCAACGGUACAAGAUGAGCAUGCGUCCCAUUAGUUAGUUGGUAAGGUAACGGCUUACCAAGACGAUGAUGGGUGGGGGUCCUGAGAGGGAGAUCCCCCACACUGGUACUGGGACACGGACCAGACUCCUACGGGAGGCAGCAGUGAGGAAUAUUGGUCAAUGGACGCAAGUCUGAACCAGCCAUGCCGCGUGCAGGAUGAAGCAUCUAUGGUGUGUAAACUGCUUUUGUACGGGAAGAAACACUCCUACGUGUAGGAGCUUGACGGUACCGUAAGAAUAAGGAUCGGCUAACUCCGUGCCAGCCGCCAGCGUUCGCU